AGUGAACGCUGGCGGUAGGCCUAACACAUGCAGGUCGAACGGCAGCACAGUAAGAGCUUGCUCUUACGGGUGGCGAGUGGCGGACGGGUGAGGAAUACAUCGGAAUCUACUUUUUCGUGGGGGAUAACGUAGGGAAACUUACGCUAAUAUCGCAUACGACCUACGGGUGAAAGCAGGGGAUCUUCGGACCUUGCGCGAUUGAAUGAGCCGAUGUCGGAUUAGCUAGUUGGCGGGGUAAAGGCCCACCAAGGCGACGAUCCGUAGCUGGUCUGAGAGGAUGAUCAGCCACACGAGAACUGAGACACGGUCCAGACUCCUACGGGAGGCAGCAGUGGGGAAUAGUGGACAAUGGGCGCAAGCCUGAUCCAGCCAUACCGCGUGGGUGAAGAAGGCCUUCGGGUUGUAAAGCCCUUUUGUUGGGAAAGAAAAGCAGCAGGUUAAGACCCCGCUGUUCUGACGGUAACCAAAGAAUAAGCACCGGCUAACUUCGUG
rnacentral:rRNA from 1 species